CCUACGGGAGGCAGCAGUAGGGAAUCUUCCACAAUGGACGAAAGUCUGAUGGAGCAACGCCGCGUGAGUGAUGAAGGUUUUCGGAUCGUAAAACUCUGUUGUAAGGGAAGAACAAGUACGAGAGGGAAUGCUCGUACCUUGACGGUACCUUGCGAGAAAGCCACGGCUAACUACGUGCCAGCAGCCGCGGUAAUACGUAGGUGGCAAGCGUUGUCCGGAAUUAUUGGGCGUAAAGCGCGCGCAGGCGGCCUUUUAAGUCUGAUGUGAAAGCCCCCGGCUCAACCGGGGAGGGUCAUUGGAAACUGGAAGGCUUGAGUACAGAAGAGAAGAGUGGAAUUCCAUGUGUAGCGGUGAAAUGCGUAGAGAUGUGGAGGAACACCAGUGGCGAAGGCGACUCUUUGGUCUGUAACUGACGCUGAGGCGCGAAAGCGUGGGGAGCAAACAGGAUUAGAUACCCUGGUAGUCCACGCCGUAAACGAUGAGUGCUAGGUGUUGGGGGGUUUCCGCCCCGUCCAGUGCUGAAGCUAACGCAUUAAGCACUCCGCCUGGGGAGUACGGCCGCAAGGCUGAAACUCAAAAGGAAAGUUAGACGG
rnacentral:rRNA from 1 species